GACGAACGCUGGCGGCGUGCUUAACACAUGCAAGUCGAACGAUGAUGCUGAGCUUGCUUGGCGGAUUAGUGGCGAACGGGUGAGUAACACGUGAGUAACCUGCCUUUGACUCUGGGAUAAGCGUUGGAAACGACGUCUAAUACCGGAUACGACCUUCCGCCGCAUGGUGUGGGGGUGGAAAGAUUUUUUGGUUGGAGAUGGACUCGCGGCCUAUCAGGUUGUUGGUGGGGUAAUGGCUCACCAAGCCUACGACGGGUAGCCGGCCUGAGAGGGUGACCGGCCACACUGGGACUGAGACACGGCCCAGACUCCUACGGGAGGCAGCAGUGGGGAAUAUUGCACAAUGGGCGAAAGCCUGAUGCAGCAACGCCGCGUGAGGGAUGACGGCCUUCGGGUUGUAAACCUCUUUUAGUAAGGAAGAAGAACUUCGGUUUGACGGUACUUGCAGAAAAAGCACCGGCUAACUACGUGCCAGCCGCCGCUGUAAAAC
rnacentral:rRNA from 1 species